CUUAAAAACACACCAACUCAUCCACAGUGGAUUUAAACCUUACAGCUGUGACUUGUGUGGAAAGUCUUUUACCCAGGCUGGAGGUUUAAAAAAACACCAACGCAUCCACAGUGGAUUUAAACCUUACAUCUGUGAGUUGUGCGGAAAGUCUUUUAAGCGGGCUCAAAACUUAAAAACACACCAACUCAUCCACAGUGGAGUUAAACCUUACAUCUGUGACUUGUGUGGAAAGUCUUUUACCCAGGCUGGAGGUUUAAAAAAACACCAACUCAUCCACAGUGGAGUUAAACCUUACAUCUGUGACUUGUGUGGAAAGUCUUUUACCCGGGCUGGAGACUUAAAAACACACCAAAUCAUCCACAGUGGAGUUAAACCUUACAUCUGUGAGUUGUGUGGUAAAUCCUUUGCUCAAAGUAGCAACUUACAGAAGCAUCUAGUUACCCACUCUGGAAUUAAGGUGUACAGCUGUGCAAAAACAUUCACUUCAUUAUCUGCUCUGUGCAAACAUCAGCCUGAUCAUGCAGGACUGAAAUCACUGGAUCACAAUGAAUCUGAAGAGAGAGAAAGAUCCUCUUCUGGUUUCAGGGUCAGACUUAAAAACCUUGAGAUCAGGCUCCACAGAGUUCAGAUGGAAUCUCCUGUAAAGAGUGUCAGCUGAUGUCACACUUGGAUCUGAUGAGUGAAGUGGAUGACCUGCAUCACACAGCACAUGAAGUCAGAGACACACUUCCCAAUUUUGCUGCUGAGAUGAACACUGACAUCCCAGCCAACAAUAAGGAAGGUACUUUUCAUACCAAAUGUCAGAGUUAUUUUUGCAUACAAUGUACUUUAUCUUUUAGUAGAACAGUGGGGAAAGGCUAGUGAUCCGCAAGAUGCUGCAGUUUUGUUUAAAAGGCAUCUCUUAAAGGAAAAGGAGGAGAACCCCAUAAUCACAGCUAUCAUUGGCAUUCGACAAGAUCAAACAUCCCAGAGCCGAGAGAUCAUUGCUUUCUACAAAAGACCACAGAUUGAUUGGGCAGGACCUUUUCAUUGUUCUUUACAAGGUAAUGCUUAUGUUGAUGCAUAGAUUCAGUUAGUUUCUUUAAAGAAACUAACUGAAAUGUUAACUCAUUUACCAAGUUAACAUUCCAACUUGGUAAAUGAGAAUUUUCCAUUAAAGGGUGCUGUAAAGCAGUUUGUAACUUUACUUGUGUUGUUGUUGUUUUUUCUUUUUCCCAAUUUUAAAAUAGGUGACAUAGCUGUUGGCACUGGGGUCCAGAGCAAGGUGCAGCCAACAUGACCCUUCUCUUUGAGGGACAACAGAACCAUCUAGUGCCUUCUACUUCUCAGAUUUUGGCAGACAGUGACUUUGUGGUAGCAGGCAGAAUGAUUGGGCAUUCAUUUUUGAACGAUGGGCCACGAUUGCAUGGCCUCAGCAAGGCUAUUAUUCACAUGUUGGUCCAUGCUGAUAGAGACACUGUCACUGUCCAGCUCGAUGAUGUGCCAGAUCUAGAUAUUCGUUCUACAAUUUACAGGCUUGACGGUAACAAACACCUCACUGAGCAGCAGAAGGAUGACAUUAACAAUUUGGCCAUUUCCUGGGACUUGCCACCCGUCAGUGCAGAAAACUGCAGAUGGCUGUUCCAACAGCUUCUCCAUCAUGCAGUGAUAGGCUGAACUAAAAGGCAGACAAAACACAUCAGAAAAGGUCUGAAGGACACCGGAUUGUUGACUAUGCUUCAACAAAGACCUGACACAGCCUCAGUGGUCUUUCCCCAGCAUGAAGACAGCAUUCUUACUGCACAGGCUGUUCUUAGCCACAUUGUUUGGCCAGGAGAUGAGGGCGAUGAUGAAGACGAUGAUGAUCCACCUUACCCACUAAGCAUCCAAAUGCAAACAGUGGGAUUUCUGAAGACCUACAUUGAAACAGGCAAG